CAACCUGAACUCAGUCGUGAUUACCCGCUGAACUUAAGCAUAUCAUUUAGCGGAGGAAAAGAAACUAAAAAGGAUUCCCCUAGUAACGGCGAGUGAAACGGGAAGAGCCCAGCGCCGAAUCGAUCAGUCUUUGGCUGCUUCGAAAUGUGGCGUAUAGGUGUAGUCUUCCAGCAGUGUGUGUGUGCUUUGUGUGUGCUUUGACCUCGGUCUUAGUAUCCUGAUCGUUCAUCUAAACGACUAAACUGGAACCGGUACGGACUCAGGGAAUCCGACUGUCUAAUUAAAACAGAGGUGACAGAUGGUCCUUGCGGACGCUGACUGUCACUGAUUUCUGCCCAGUGCUCUGAAUGUUAAAUCGUAGUAAUUCGAGUAAGCGCGGGUAAACGGCGGGAGUAACUAUGACUCUCUUAAGGUAGCCAAAUGCCUCGUCAUUUAAUUGUUGACGCGCAUGAAUGGAUUAACGAGAUUCCUACUGUCCCUAACUACUAUCUAGCGAAACCACAGCCAAGGGAACGGGCUUGGCAAAAAUAGCGGGGAAAGAAGACCCUGUUGAGCUUGACUCUAGUUUGACAUUGUGAAGAGUCAUGAGAGGUGUAGCAUAGGUGGGAGUCUUCGGACGCCAAUGAAAUACCACCACUUUCAUCGACUCUUUACUUAUUCGGUUAAAAGAGAAUUGGUCGCAA
rnacentral:ncRNA from 1 species